CUUGCCGUGCCUCCCGCCGCUCCUCCGGUCGCACCCCCCCCCCUUGCGCCUCGCUCCUCCGGCUGCGCUGAUACAGACUAACACGGCUACCCCCUGAUACCUGAAUCCAGUAGGAGUUUUGGAUGUGCACAGAAGGCUGGACUGGUUCCUGCAUGGUUACAGAACUGCAGUAAAGUGGAACAAUUUUCAGUUUGUGUGACUGGAGGAUAUCUGGAUCCAUACUGUAAGACUGUCCCAGAUGACGAGGAAAAGUUGAGGUGCCUUUGCUGUUCUUUUGUUGUACUUUUAGUUUCUGUGGAGAACUUGCCAAUACAAUAUUACUGUCUUCUU